rnacentral:misc_RNA from 1 species
AACUGAUACUACCUGCGGGAACCUGCGGAGGGAUCAUUACUGAAGCGAUUUGGGGAUGUUGCUGGCCCUCUCUCAAGGGGGGGCACUGUGCACUCCUCGAAACAAUUCACAAUUUCCAUCACACCCCUUGUGCACACCUUGUAGGCACCCAAACCCACCUCCGGGUGGUGGGGUCCUAUGUAUUCCUUCAUCUCACACUCUGUUGAAUGGUGCCAUGGGACGCAUCUAAAGGAUUAUUUG